rnacentral:rRNA from 1 species
AGCCUUAGGAAAUAAUCUAAGGUUAGACCUGCCCAAUGUAACUAUUAUAUCAAUGGCCGCGGUACUCUGACCGUGCUAAGGUAGCGCAAUCAAUUGGCCUUUAAUUAAGGUCAGGUAUGAAUGGAGUCACGGGGCUCAGCUGUCUCCUUAUUAAUCUAUUGAAUAUUACUAUAUAGGUGAAAAAGCCUAUAAGAAGAAAAGGGACGAGAAGACCCUUAGAGUUUCUCUUAAAACAGACAAUUAUCUGCAACAGUUUAGUUGGGGCAACUGAGGAACAAUUUAAAUUUCCUGUAAAAUAUUAACCGAUUCUUAUAAAACUGGAUAAACUACCUUAGGGAUAACAGCAUAAUUUCAUAUAUAAGUUUGUGACCUCGAUGUGGACUAGGAAACCUAAAGGCUAGCCGCCUUUAGGAUAAGUUCUGUUCGAACUAUUUAUUCCU